rnacentral:tRNA from 1 species
AUAGUGGCUCAGUUGGUAGAGCGCCACCUUGCCAAGGUGGAAAUCGCGGGUUCGAGUCCCGUCUAU